rnacentral:sRNA from 1 species
UUUUUUGAAGAAUUGUGGUAGACUGUUCUAUAUAUAGAAGUAAACCUGAAAUCAUAAUUAUUUUUCCAAAAGGUAUUUUCUGGCAAACUUAAUUAAAUACAUUUCCCCACAAAAUUCUGGAAGUAAUUAAUAAGCAAUGACUAUUUAUAAGUACUUAACAGAAAAUUUUAAUUUGCUAGAGGGACAGUAUACAUCCAUUAGGUAAAAGUCAUGUCAUAUUAAAGGUGGAGUAAGUCCUAAGUAGAAAUCAGUGGAAAGACAUUUCAGCUUUUAAGUACAGUAAGGACCAGUUGGUGGUAAUUAUAACAAAUUUAUUGGAAGAACUAUGAUAGCAAGAGAUGACCAAAAAUGGAACUGGAUAUUUAGUUUCAAGUCAUUGAAAAUAAGCAGAAACUAGAUGUUUAUGUACCAGAUUAACGGGUUUCUCUGUCAGCUUAUUAGGUGAUUUUCAAUGGAAGAAUAUGUUUGAGUUCUUAAAUAGAAACCUAAGAAAAUACUUAUUCUAGAAAUUAGAAUGUGGCUAAGAAUAAAAGGGGAAACCAAAAAUAGCAGGGACGGAAGAAGCUAAGUAGACUGCAGCAUAAGGUACGCAGAAAUUCCAACUGUGUUAGUUAGGAACUUUGAAUGUCAAUUAUUCAAGCAAGACAAUAACCACCACCCUUGGUCACAAAGUGCUGGGAUUACAGGCAUGAGCCACCGCACCGCACCCAGCUUUUAGUUACUUUUUAAAAUCAACGUGCACUUAGGUUUUAAAAUUAUGCUUAAUGCCUUUAAUUCAGUCUGAAAUUACUCUCAAU